GGAAAAAACAAGAAAAAAGAAAAACACAUACACGUGAAGUCUAUAAAUUUUGUAAUAUUUUUGAGAAUUAUAUUUUGAUUAUCUUCCCAGAUUAUAUUCAGAUUUUAAUAGAAGUCACUAAAAGUAAAGAAUUAACUUAUAACCAGUUUUGAGGCACUGUCUAUAAGCCCCUGAUUUAAAACCUUGGCUAUAAAGUUUUAAUAGGGUGCCUUAUGUUCAUUGAUAAUCUCAUACAUGAAAAUAAUGUAACUUAAAAACUUAAUUCUAAGUUGGGCAGUGGUGGUGCAUGCCUUUAAUGUCAGAGGCAGGUAGAUCUCUGAGUUACAGGCUAUCUUGGUCACAGAGCAAGUUCUAGGACAGCCAGAACUACACAGAGAAAGCCCGUCAGGGAGAGGGGGAGCCUUAACUCUAGUUGAGUGGUACCUCGAACAGAGGAGGCUAGUGAAGUAGGGUAGACACCAGCCUGUGCAGUAAAAGCCUUAUCUCAAAAAAUAAAAGAUCUCAACAUUGAAAGUGUGCCUUAUCCCAUUUAAUUCAAAAUACUUACAAAAUGAACUUAAGGGGCUGGAAAUGUGGCUCACUAUGGGCUGUAAAUCCUUUUUCAGGGGAUCUAAUUCCUUUGACCUCUGGACACCAGGCAUACAAUGCACAUAAAAACUCCAUGGUGGUAACACCUUUCGGUGGAUAUCUGAGUUUGAGACCAGCCUGGUCUUCAGAGCAAGUUCCAUGACAGCUAAGGUUACCUAGCAAAUCCCUGUCUAUAAAAAAAUUUGCAUUUAAGAAGUCUUCCUUUUAUGGUGAAACCUUACUGUUAGAAUAAUCCAUUUGUUUCUUACAGCUCCGAUGCAGGUGUAUUGAAAAUGUGGGCCUGGCUGUGUCUGGUGCAUCUGGUGAGAGCCUUUUGACACAAGUGAAUAGAAGAGCAGUGUUGGAGAAUAGUAAACUCACGGAGCUCCAUGGAAGCAGUACAUGGGAUUACUCUGCUCAGUAAAUAGGCACUGGAGAGGUAGUUUCUGAUGUAAGAAUAUCAGCUUCAUAAGGUUAUAAUCUCAACAGAAAACAGAGUGACAUAGUCUAUAUAUAUAUAUAUAUAUAUGUAUAUAUAUAUAUAGCUAUCAUUUAAAUCGCUUGCUAUAGGAAUUACCAGUUUUGAAACUUAAGCACACGUCCAGGCUGUCCAGGUAACUCAGAAGGUAAACCUGACUUGUUUGACCCCAAGAACGCACUUUACAAGAAAAACCUCUGGAAAGUUGUUCUUUGAACUUAAACCUGCCAGCCUGAACUCACAUACUAUUAUAAAGUAUAUUAUAAAGUAGCACAAUAAAAACCUUAAGAACUGGUGCUUGACAGUAUCGUUUAACAAGGAGAGGAGCUGCAAAUAUAACAGGUUUGUUCAACCUUAGUCCACUAUACAGGAACUGCUACUUGGAUCAAGAAAAACAUUUUUUGAGAAUUUAAGUUUUCUGCACCUAUCCCAAAGAGGUGCAACAAUCAUUGUCAUACAGACCUGGUGACAAAAGUUGUUUAAAGCACACCAUCUGGGCAUUAUUUCAUAAACAUACCAGGACUUGAAAGCUUGAGUUAAGAGCUGGCUUGGGCAUUCCAAGAUCAUAUCUCAGAAAACACCCUGGUUGCUGGGAUUAAAGUGUGAUCGAUCAACUCCACUCUCCAAGAAAAAUAAUACCAAGAUUUUUGGAGUUUGUGUUCAUAGCUCACAAUUCAACAGUUCUUAAUCCUUAUAAUACACAGAGAGAUAUUUUCACAUGCUUGUCCAGAAUGAAAAGCAAUUUAGACAAAAACAUUCUUUAGACAAAUACAGUAGUAAAAGUGAAGAAUGAUUCCCAUGCCCCUCUGCUCCACAUAGGAAGCCUUAGACCAGAAUCUGACCCUAUCAGUACUGUACUACUUAACUAUGAGUGGUCCUUAGUAACAGAGUUACUGAUCUCUGAUUCCUAGUGCCAACCUGUGGUGGUGCCUGGACACAUUACAAUACACACAUAGACCACUGCUAGUCUAACUUCCAAGAACUGAAUAUUGUUGGUCCUAAGCAUAUAGGAUGAAGGGCUUUCUAUGGUUAUCUCCCUUCCAGGACAGUUAAUCUGCCUGGAUUAUAUAGUACUCUAAGUAUGGUAGAUAUAUCACAGUUUUAGAAGAAUAAUUGCUUUUUAAGGCAGUUUUACCUUGUAGACCAGGUUGGCCCCAAACUUGUCAGCCCACCUCCCUUUACCUCCUGAGUGCUAGUAUUUAUUCUUAAAGGGUUUAUUUUUUAUGGGUGGUAGGAAUAGGUUAGUGCUGAUGUCAGAGGUGCCAGAUCUCCCUGUAACUAGUUAAAAGUAACUAUGAGGGUCCCAACAACUAAGUUGAGUACCCAACUCCAGCCCAAUAAUAGGACAGCAUUCACUGUUAACCACUGGGCAUCUCUAAUUCCUUCAAAGCUACAUCCAUUCAGUCCUAUUUCUGUACACUCACCAACCACCACCCAGUCUUGAGACAAGGCUCAAGUUGCCCAGAUUAGCCUAUAAUUUAGAACACUUGUUGCCUUCCAAAGGCUGAAGUUGGAGGCUUCUAUAGCCAGUUGAUCCAGUUUUAAUGUUUUAAGCAUAUGUUUUUAAGUCCCAGUAUUGGGGAGACUGAGGUGGGAGGAUCUUGAGUUCAAGGCCAGCCUGGGCUACAAAGACUCAACCACUUUGUUUUGUUGUUUUCAAGGCAGGAUUUUUCUCUGUAACCCUGGCUGUCCUUAGAAUUUGCUCUAUAAACCAUACUGACCUUGAGUUCCGGCCUGCCUCUGCCCACUGAGUGCUGUGAAUAAAGGUGUGCAUGGCCA